GACGAACGCUGGCGGCGUGCUUAACACAUGCAAGUCGAACGAAGAGCGAUGGAAGCUUGCUUCUAUCAAUCUUAGUGGCGAACGGGUGAGUAACGCGUAAUCAACCUGCCCUUCAGAGGGGGACAACAGUUGGAAACGACUGCUAAUACCGCAUACGAUCUAAUCUCGGCAUCGAGGAUAGAUGAAAGGUGGCCUCUACAUGUAAGCUAUCACUGAAGGAGGGGAUUGCGUCUGAUUAGCUAGUUGGAGGGGUAACGGCCCACCAAGGCGAUGAUCAGUAGCCGGUCUGAGAGGAUGAACGGCCACAUUGGGACUGAGACACGGCCCAGAUUCCUACGGGAGGCAGCAGUGGGGAAUCUUCCGCAAUGGACGAAAGUCUGACGGAGCAACGCCGCGUGAGUGAUGACGGCCUUCGGGUUGUAAAGCUCUGUUAAUCGGGACGAAAGGCCUUCUUGCGAAUAGUGAGAAGGAUUGACGGUACCGGAAGAGAAAGCCACGGCUAACUACGUG
rnacentral:rRNA from 1 species